AAAUCAAUAAACCCAUAUAAUAUAUGGGUUUGUGCUGGGCCUCUCACCUGAUAGGGUGUCGCCUCAAAGUCAUAGGUCUUAUGAGCGGAUGGAGAUCCAUUAGGACUUGACCGUUUGUGGAGACCCUAAAUCUCUAG
rnacentral:misc_RNA from 1 species